AAUAAGUGCAGUUUUGCACUAUUCACGUUCAACGUUUGACCGUCCGUCUUAUUUGAAAAAUUUGUGAAAAAAUUAAAAACAUUUAGUCACACAUAAAGUACUAUUCAUGUUUUAUCAUCUAAUAGCAAUAAAAAUACUAAUCAUAAAAAAUUUUCAAAUAAGACGGACGGUCAAACGUUGAACAUAAAUAGUGCAAAACUGCAUUUAUU
rnacentral:pre_miRNA from 1 species